rnacentral:lncRNA from 1 species
AACAAUAACAGAAGUUGGAUGCUAAAACGUGGGCCUACUGGGUAUACCCCCAACCGGUCCAUUAAAUAAAAAUAAAAGAAAGAGAAAAACUAGUGGAAAGCAGAAUACUUAAAGCUACGAAAAUAGAAAACCUAGGGUAAUAAUUACUAGUCGAAUCAGAUUGUAGCUGGACACCAUUUACAAAUCGUCCUUUCAUUUCCAAAAAACCUAUUGUUGCAUUUGAUAGCUUUUCAAUUUCUUUCACAAAGUCAUUCUCAAUCUGGGAGCCUACUCCAUCUUCCAUCGGAACGCACAUAAAGGCGGUGUAGUGCCUCUCCUUCCAGGUGUGUUUCUUCUCCCUUCUUAGGGCUUCUUCUGCAAUUUUGUGAGCCGAGAUGUUCUCGGUUCUAUUUAGAAAUUGGAACAUGAUUUCUUGAAAAAACUUCGACUUUUUUUGAAUAUCACUGAUGAUUUCUCCUAUAACUGACUUAUCUUGCAUCGAUGUUUGACAUUUCUUUAUGACGGUUCGUGAAUCCCCCUUUACCGUAAUUGAGUGUAUACCCAGGGAAAGUCUAAGAUUAAUCGCAUGAAGACCUGCAUAAGCUUCUGCUGUAAAAGAAGUUGAAACAUUUGAAUUUAAGACCGUCUUCGUAACAAGAAUUACUCCCAUCUGAUCCUGAACCACCAGGCCUGCCAUCGAUUUGAAAUCCCUUCGGUUAAAAGCAGCAUCAAAGUGAAUCGUCAUCCCAGAACUCGUAUCUCUCUGAAUGGCCCUCGUAGCCGUACACAAGGUACUCCUUUUUUCUGCCAGACCAUCAAUCUCAGCCAAAUACCUUUGAACUUUUGAUGCUAUCUCUCUUCCUUACUCAACUUUUCUUUCAUGCAUGAGCUUAUUUCUUGACCUCCACAGGACCCAUAUGCCACAGCAAAGCAAUCGACCUUUUGAGAGUUCUCUUUUGGAACAUCCAAGUAAGCCAGCCCCAGAACCUCUGAACCAAAAAGUUAUUAACCCAAGGAAGAUCUAACAUUUUCCAAACUUCUAUUACUACAUGACAGUACCGAAAGACAUGUGAUAAAUCUUCUUCCCCAGAUCUACAUCGAGAACAAACAGCAGUGUCGACUACUCGUUUAGAUCGUAAAUUAACUAGAGUAGGCAUAUAGUUCCAUGAUGCUCUUCAAACUGUAAUAGUAAUCUUUGAGGGUAACUGUAAAUUCCAGAGCUUUUUGUAGAAAUUUUUUAAAUCGGUAUGUAAUAAUAAGUUGUUAGGAUUCGAGCUAGUGCUUUGUAAUAGUUUGUAGGCACUUCUGACCGAAAAUCAACUCCUUGGAGUUCCGCUAGAAGGAUUUGCAAAAUCUUUUGGGCAGUGUCUGCUGGGAAGGUACUUAGCACUAGUUCAGACUUCCACAUAUUAUUUGAUGCAUCAAUUAAAUCUGAAACUAAUUGGACUUCAUUAUUGUUUUCGUGACUCUUAACAACCGUAUCAAUUCCUGGUAUCCACUGAUCAUUCCACACUGAGAUUCCAGUUGCUCGUCCAACUCUCCAACUCAGCCCAUUUCGUAACAAUCCUUUUGCAGACCAGACACUCUUCCAGGUAAGUGAUGGUGAGUUACCCAAUUGUGCAUUAAAAAAAAAAAAUCUAAACUUGGAUAAUACUUGGCUUUAAAAACUUUUUCCAAUAAGGAAUUUGGAUAAUUAAUAAGGCGCCACCCUUGCUUAGCUAACAUAGCGAUAUUAAACUGGCUAAUAUUUCGAAACCCAAGACCUCCAUUUUCCUUCAAAGUACAAAGGUUCUUCCAUGCACACCAGUGUAUACCCCUUCUUCCAUGGCCCUUUUGCCACCAAAACUUGGCAAUAAUAUUCUUAAUCUCACCACACAACGUCUUGGGUAAAAAGAAACAGGCCAUUAAGUAAGUUGGGAUGGCUUGGAGUAUGGACUUAAUAAAUACUUCUUUCCCUCAUUGUGAUAAAUGUCUCGUACUCUAUUGAUCAAUGUGCUGCUUGAUUCGAUCCUUUAAAAUUUGAAACGACUCCCUUUUCUUCCUGCCUACCAUGUAGGCAAUCCUAGGUAACGCUCUGGUUCACUCGAGCUUCGUACUCCCAAUAUAUUACCCAUCACUCUUCUAUCAACAUCAGGUGUAUUCUUGCUAAAAAAGGCAACUGAUUUGUUGAAAUUAACGCAUUGCCCUGAGCACAUUCUGUACUUUCUAAAGAUUUCUUUUAAGAUAUUAGCUCCUCUACUCGUUGCUUCACUAAAUAAAAUGCAGUCAUUAGCAAAGAGUAAGUGCAACACCUGCGGUCCACCCCUACUGGCUUUUACUCCUUUUAACAAUCCUUCACACAUUGCACAAUUUAUUAGACAAUAUAAGCCUUCCCCACAUAUAAUGAACAUAAAAGGCCUGAGUGGAUCCCCUUAGCAUAGCCCCCUCGUCGGUUGAAAAUUCUCCCCUUCAAAUCCAUUAACUAUUACCGAAUAGGUAACAUAAUUUAUGCACUUCAUAAUAAUCUCAAUCCAGUUUGAGGUAAAGCCCAUACGAAUCAUUAUUUCUUCAAUAAAUUUCUACUCAACUCGAUCGUAUGCUUUACUCAUGUCAAGUUUCAUUGCCAUAAAACCUUUCUGCCCCACUCGUUUCUAUUUCAAUGUAUGAAGAAUUUCAUAAGCAAGUAAAAUAUUAUCCGAGAUCAAUCUCCCUGGUACAAAAGCACUCUGUGCCACAUCAAUACAUUUCUCAAUAACCCCUCUGAGCCUAUUGGCAAUAGCUUUCACCAUGAUUUUAUAAAUCACAUUGCAUAGGCUAAUUGGUCUAAACAGUAUCAUGUUCUUGGGGUCAACAACUUUUGGAAUAAGCACAAUGUUUGUAGAAUUUACCUGCUUGAAGUCCUUAUCCUCAUUAGAGUUUGUAAGCAGAAUUUGAUGACAUCCUCUCCCACCAUAUUCCAACACUUUUGAUAAAAUAAUGCUGGUAAUCCAUCUUCCCCUGAGGCUUUAAUGGGUCCCAUCUCAAACACUGCAACUUUAAUCUCGUCCUUUGUGUAGGAUGUCAUUAGCAAUUGAUUAUCCUCCUCAGAUAUACACCUGCCAACUUCUGGUAAUACUUGAUUAAGAUUUCCCCUUCCUUCUGAUGUAAAUAACUUUUGAAAGUAAGCCUGUGUAAUGCCCUCUAUUUCUGGGAUAAUCUCUGUUUCCCUUCCCUCAUCAUCCUUCAUUUUGUGAAUCAAAUUUCUCCUUCUCUGAUGUGUGGCUUGACUAUGAAAGAAAGAGGUAUUCCUAUCACCAUACUUCAGCCAAUUUAUGCGCGCUCUCUGUUCUCAGUAACGUUCAUCCUUGUCAAUUUCAAGAUGCAGUUGAACUCUUGUGUCGAUCAACUCUGCCAUAUUAGAAUCGUCUCUCUUAUCUGCUAAAAAUUCUGAUAAUCUGUCUAUAAGAACUGCCUUGCACCGUUUGCGAUCAGAUUGGAUCCGAAUAGCCCAGUUCGUCAAACCAUGCUUAAGCAAGUCUAAUUUCUGCAACAAGUUACUCGAAGAUAACCCCCAAAAACUUUUGACUUCUUCCUCGAAUGACUCCUCUAUUGUCCACCAAGCUUCAAACCUAAAAGCUUUCUUCUUCAACCCUUGAUCUACCUUGAUUGUAUUUAUCAAUAAGGGGCAAUGACCAAAGAACGAAUGAGUGAGGUUUUUGAUAGUUACCUUAGGAAACAUGGCCAUCCAUUCUUCAUUUGCAACGCCCCUAUCAAGCCUUUCACGUAUAUUUGUCUCUGGUAAAUUUCCCGCUUCCAUGUAAACCAUCUCCUUGAAAAUCCAACAUCCAUUAGGCUGUAAUCACUUAAGACACUACGGAAUAACUCUAUUCUUCUUUCUUCUCUCGGUAACCUUCCCUUUUUUUCAAAAUCGUACAUUAUUUCAUUAAAGUCCCUGCAAACAAACCACAGAAAUCUCUCCCGAUUGAAUAAAUUUUUUAACUCCUCCUAGGAAUUAUUUCGAUCAUGUACAUAUGGGGACCCAUAAAAGCCAAUAAACCUCCAUUGACCUCUCACAUCAGAUUCAUCUACUACCACAUCAAUAAACCUUUUCGAGUAUUGUUGAAGCGUAACACACACCUCCGCUUUCCACGCCAAACAUAAUCCACCUCUAGUGCCAUCUGGAUCAACUUCAAUCCCAUAAACAUACCCACACCUACUACGAAUCCUCUCAAUUUAACUUUUUCAUAUUUUCGUCUCCAUAAAGGAGACUAUUUGGGGAUUUUGUAACUUCAGCAUGUAUCAAAGUCUUCGAACUGUUCGUAGGUUUCCCAAUCCAUGAACAUUCCAACUUAACAGUUUCAUUGCACCCGAUCUGCUUGCCUCUUGGCAGCCACCGAUACAAAUUGAUUUUCUUCCAACAAUCUCCUAUUUCUACCCAUCAGAGAGUUUUCCUUUCCCAAUACUAUCACACCUUCCAUCUCUCCUCUAGCCCGCUUAUUCCCUUCUUCGCCAAUCAGAGUACCUUCCUCCAGAUCGUGCCCAUAUCAGUUAAAUCAGGAACUAACAAUGAGUUACUCCCCAUGUGAUUUCCUAGUAUUCUCCAACCUUCCAGAUUGAACCCCAAGACUUGGUCGAAAGACUGUCCGUAUCCCACUUUUGUAUUUGUACCAGUCUAAAAAUUACUCCCUUUUCUAACUGUGCUUCCCCCGUCACAGUUCAUUUUCCCAUCCCCUUCGUCUCUCAACCACACAUUAUUCAUUGCUACAGCCCUCCGAGAUUGCGUUCGUAUGGAGAAAUCCCAACCCACCUCAGCUACUUCCACCCCUAGCAUCAUCUUUGCUUCACAAAAUGAAUCGUUAUGCCCCAGUCGACCGCAAUAAAAGCAAAAAAGAGAGAGUCGCUCGUACCUGAAACUUACAUAGGUACAAUUCCCGCUGAACAAAAUUCGUUUCCUCCUUCCGAACUCUUACCCGCAAAUAAUUUGUACUUCCCUUUCCCAGAUUUGAUCCAUCAUACUCAAUAAAUUCUCCGAUAAAAUUUCCCAAUUGGGUUGCCAAAUUUUUCGAAAAAAGUCCAACGGGGAUGUUAUGAGUCUGGACCCAAAACGGUGCCAUGAACAGUUGCAUUUUUUGAGGAUCUUCUCCCCAUUGUAACUUAUGUAAAACUAGCAAAUGAUUAUUAAAUGUCCAUGGAGAUCCCUUCAACAUUAUCCAAAUCCAUGAUAUGAUAGAAUUGAAACAAGAAUCUCUUUUCACCCAAAUCUCAAAUGUGAACACCCCUAACAGGAUGCCAAAGAUUUGCCAUUGUGCUUCUCAUUGCAGGAAAAUGAAUAACACUAGCAGUUAAAAAACAUCCUACUAACCUGAAGAUCUCCUCUCCUCUUUCUAUAUUUGGUUCACUUUGGACUUGUUGGAUGGCAUCUUCUUCUUCGUUGAGUGAUAGUCCUACUAAUUCGUUUUCCAUUAAUUGCAGGUGUAAAUCCCGAUUGAAACAAAACGCUAUACAGAAAGAAACCUUAUAAUCUAGAUUUGAGCCGUCGCCCCUCCACUUACAAACAAAAACAAAAACCCAAGAAAAGAGACGUUCCAAGAAUGGCAGACUAGAAACGUGCCAGAGACGGCAGACCCCGCCGUGAAAGAUAUGUUAGUACAGUAAGAAAUGAUAAUAAAAAUGAUAAUUUAGUUACUUAAAAAACAUAUUUAAAAUUAUUAAAACUGAUUAAAAAUUAUAUUAAUUUUUUAUUUUAACAUAAAAGAUUUGAAAAAAGAAACAUAACAUCCAACAUUUUCAAAUUUUACAUUGAAAUCACAUUACUUAAUCAAGUUUUAAAUAGUUUCAAUAUAUUGAAAAUACUAUUUUAAAAUUAGAAAAUUAUAUCUGAAAUUUAAAAAUAAAAUAGUUUUAUCUUAGAAUUAAAAAUAUAGGCAACCAAUUUGAUUUGAAAUUUCAAAAUAAUCUUUUUACUUAUCUAAAAAGUUUAGACUAUCAAAUUUAAAACUUAUUUAUAUAUAAUGAAGGAAUAUUAAAUAUUUUUAAUUACACAAUCUAUUUUAAUUUUGA